rnacentral:snoRNA from 1 species
CUGCAUCCACUGAUAGACCUUGAACAAUCUGUGGUAGUUCUGCUCUGCACCAGGAUCAAAAGACAAUACUCCCUGUCUGUUCUUGUGGCAGUCCAGACUGAAUUAGAGAGUAUGUCU